UAGCGUAGGGUGCAAGCGUUAAUCGGAAUUACUGGGCGUAAAGCGUGCGCAGGCGGUUUUGUAAAGUCAGAUGUGAAAAUCCCCCGGGCUUAACCUGGGAACUGCGUUUGAAACUACAAGGCUAGAGUGUGGCAGAGGGGGGUGGAAUUCCACGUGUAGCAGUGAAAUGCGUAGAGAUGUGGAGGAACACCGAUGGCGAAGGCCAGCCCCCUGGGUUAACACUGACG
rnacentral:rRNA from 1 species